rnacentral:tRNA from 1 species
GCGGGAUUAGUUUAAUGGCAAAAUAACAGUUUUCCAAACUGUGGUCGGGGGUUCGAUUCCCCCAUCCCGCACAA